GGAUAAAGCGCUUGGAUAGUGCUUAUCCGAAAGGGUUAAAUGAGCAGUGCAAUUUAUCAUGUUUUCUUUAAUAGUAAUGGCUUGUCGUCCUUUGUUCCCAGGAAUUAUAACUAGAUUCCAAGUUGUAAUGACAUGGAACUCCUGCUGCAUUUACAUAUGGGUCUUUUACAGGUUAGGCGGAUUGAGCAGUAACCUGGUUUUAACAUUAUGUUUCAGUGGGAUUUCAACAUGUAUUAUAUGAAAUAAUGUGUGUCACUUUUAAUAGCUAGAUGAAUUGGGUCACAAUAAGUUUUUACAAUAUUUA